rnacentral:rRNA from 1 species
UAGGGAAUCUUCCACAAUGGACGAAAGUCUGAUGGAGCAACGCCGCGUGAGUGAUGAAGGGUUUCGGCUCGUAAAACUCUGUUGUUGGAGAAGAACGGGUGUCAGAGUAACUGUUGACAUCGUGACGGUAUCCAACCAGAAAGCCACGGCUAACUACGUGCCAGCAGCCGCGGUAAUACGUAGGUGGCAAGCGUUGUCCGGAUUUAUUGGGCGUAAAGCGAGCGCAGGCGGUUUUUUAGGUCUGAUGUGAAAGCCUUCGGCUUAACCGGAGAAGUGCAUCGGAAACCGGGAGACUUGAGUGCAGAAGAGGACAGUGGAACUCCAUGUGUAGCGGUGAAAUGCGUAGAUAUAUGGAAGAACACCAGUGGCGAAGGCGGCUGUCUGGUCUGCAACUGACGCUGAGGCUCGAAAGCAUGGGUAGCGAACAGGAUUAGAUACCCUGGUAGUCCAUGCC